CAGCAGCCGCGGGAAUACGGAGGGGGCUAGCGUUGUUCGGAAUUACUGGGCGUAAAGCGCACGUAGGCGGCUUGGUAAGUUAGAGGUGAAAGCCUGGAGCUCAACUCCAGAAUUGCCUUUAAGACUGCCGAGCUAGCAGGUGAGAGAGGUAAGUGGAAUUCCGAGUGUAGAGGUGAAAUUCGUAGAUAUUCGGAAGAACACCAGUGGCGAAGGCGACUGACUGGACAAGUAUUGACGCUGAGGUGCGAAAGCGUGGGGAGCAAACAGGAUUAGAUACCCCCGUAGUCCCUGUCUCUUAUAC
rnacentral:rRNA from 1 species